UACAGAGGUCUCAAGCGUUGUUCGGAUUCAUUGGGCGUAAAGGGUGCGUAGGCGGCGAGGUAAGUCGGAUGUGAAAUCCCGGGGCUCAACCCUGGAACUGCAUUCGAUACUGCUUUGCUUGAGUACUGGAGAGGAGACUGGAAUUUACGGUGUAGCAGUGAAAUGCGUAGAUAUCGUAAGGAAGACCAGUGGCGAAGGCGAGUCUCUGGACAGUUACUGACGCUGAGGCACGAAGGCCAGGGGAGCAAACGGG
rnacentral:rRNA from 2 species